rnacentral:rRNA from 1 species
UACGGGGGGAGCAAGCGUUGUUCGGAUUUACUGGGCGUAAAGGGCGCGUAGGCGGUAGCACAAGUCAGUUGUGAAAUCUCCGGGCUUAACUCGGAAAGGUCAACUGAUACUGUGCGACUAGAGUGCAGAAGGGGCAACUGGAAUUCUCGGUGUAGCGGUGAAAUGCGUAGAUAUCGAGAGGAACACCUGCGGCGAAGGCGGGUUGCUGGGCUGACACUGACGCUGAGGCGCGAAAGCCAGGGGAGCGAUCCGG